CUGGAAGCCGCUCUCUUAGUGAGCUCUUCUAGCCUGCCAGGAGAAUGAAUGAACAGUUUCCUUCCAGCAGAGCUGCCUCCAUUGGUUGCCAGUGCAUUCAGGCUUAGUUCAUGUGGCUGUUCCAAGCACUGAGAUUAGGAGUGGAGACACCCGUGUGAACAGAAAUCUUAAAAAAAUAGGUGCAGGAGACCUGCUUUAAAAAUGAAGGGAAAAAAAAGGAAAACAGAAGGAUAAGUAAACAUGAACCAAUGCCAGCUUGUUCCUGCCAUAUGUUUUCACAAGUGCAUUUCUGUUUGGUAUGGAAGAGAACCUUUUCCAUAGUGUGAUCUGAUUUUUAUACUAAUUCAUGUGACUUUAACCUAAGAUCUGAUUACUUCUUGGAAAAGGAAAAUUAAAUUACUGAACUGUGUCCUUUGUGGAAACAGAGAGGACACUGUUCUUGGAUUCUUCAA